rnacentral:tRNA from 1 species
GGGAAGGUGGCUCAGUGGUAGAGUGCUUGCUUUGCAUGCAUGAGGCCCUGGGUUCAAUUCCUCAGCAUCUCA